rnacentral:misc_RNA from 1 species
GAUCAUUAAAGCGUUGAACCUGCGCCUCUGGGCGUAGGUAAAACCCCACCCGUGACUACUACACCACAUGUUGCUUUGGCGGGCCCGCCUCUGGCUGCCGGGGUCUCCCUGGAUAGCGCCCGCCAGAGAUACACUGAACUUCUGUGAAACUGGACGUCUGAGUUGAUAUCAAUCAUUAAAACUUUCAACAAUGGAUCUCUUGGUUCCGGCAUCGAUGAAGAACGCAGCGAAAUGCGAUAAGUAAUGUGAAUUGCAGAAUUCCGUGAAUCAUCGAAUCUUUGAACGCACAUUGCGCCCUCUGGUAUUCCGGAGGGCAUGCCUGUCCGAGCGUCAUUGCAACCUUCAAGCGCGGCUUGUGUGUUGGGCCUCGUCCCCUGUGGACGGGCCUCAAAGGCAGUGGCGGCGUCCGUUUUGGUGCCCGAGCGUAUGGGAAUUCUAUACCGCUUCAAGGCCCGGCGGCGCUGGUCAAGACCAAU